CACGGGUGAGUAACGCGUACGCAACCUACCUCCAAGAGGGGGAUAGCCCCGGGAAACUGGGAUUAAUACCCCAUGGCAUCUGGCAACCGCCUGGUUAUCAGAUUAAAGCUGAGGCGUUUGGAGAUGGGCGUGCGUCUGAUUAGCUAGUUGGUAGGGUAACGGCCUACCAAGGCGACGAUCAGUAGGGGGCGUGAGAGCGUGGCCCCCCACACGGGUACUGAGACACGGACCCGACUCCUACGGGAGGCAGCAGUAAGGAAUAUUGGACAAUGGGCGGAAGCCUGAUCCAGCCAUCCCGCGUGCAGGAUGAAUGCCCUACGGGUUGUAAACUGCUUUUGAAGGGGAAGAAACCCAUCUUUUUAAAGGUGGCUGACGGUACCUUUCGAAUAAGCACCGGCUAACUCCGUGCCAGCAGCCGCGGUAAUACGGAGGGUGCAAGCGUUAUCCGGAAUUACUGGGUUUAAAGGGUGCGUAGGCGGCGCAGUAAGUCAGAGGUGAAAGGCUUCCGCUCAACGGGAGAAUUGCCUUUGAUACUGUUGUGCUUGAAUCAGGUUGAGGCUGGCGGAAUGUGGCAUGUAGCGGUGAAAUGCAUAGAUAUGCCACAGAACACCGAUUGCGAAGGCAGCUGGCUGGGCCUAGAUUGACGCUGAG
rnacentral:rRNA from 1 species